GGGAAGGAUCAGCUGCUCAAGGGUAGCUGGGACUGAAGUUCCUAUGGCCUUUCUGCUAGAGGCUAGCAUUCUGGAGGACAGUUGGGACUUGAUUUUUCCUGCAAUACAGUGGAUACAAUUUGUCAUGGCUACUCUGAGGUAUGUUUAUUUAAUUGCAUGUAACUAAACCAGUAUAAACAAAAUUC
rnacentral:lncRNA from 1 species